rnacentral:rRNA from 1 species
CCUACGGGAGGCAGCAGUGAGGAAUAUUGGACAAUGGGCGCAAGCCUGAUCCAGCCAUGCCGCGUGCAGGAAGAAGCAUCUAUGGUGUGUAAACUGCUUUUGUACAGGAAGAAACACUCCCUCGUGAGGGAGCUUGACGGUACUGUAAGAAUAAGGACCGGCUAACUCCGUGCCAGCAGCCGCGGUAAUACGGAGGGUCCGAGCGUUAUCCGGAAUCAUUGGGUUUAAAGGGUCCGUAGGCGGUUUAAUAAGUCAGUGGUGAAAUCUGGUCGCUCAACGAUCAAACGGCCAUUGAUACUGUUAGACUUGAAUUAUAAGGAAGUAACUAGAAUAUGUAGUGUAGCGGUGAAAUGCUUAGAUAUUACAUGGAAUACCAAUUGCGAAGGCAGGUUACUACUUAUGGAUUGACGCUGAUGGACGAAAGCGUGGGGAGCGAACAGGAUUAGAUACCCUGGUAGUCCACGCCGUAAACGAUGGAUACUAGCUGUUCGGAGCAAUCUGAGUGGCUAAGCGAAAGUGAUAAGUAUCCCACCUGGGGAGUACGUUCGCAAGAAUGAAACUUAAAGGAAUUGACGG